rnacentral:rRNA from 1 species
AGUGAACGCUGGCGGUGGGCCUAACACAUGCAAGUCGAACGGCAGCACAGUAAGAGCUUGCUCUUACGGGUGGCGAGUGGCGGACGGGUGAGGAAUACAUCGGAAUCUACUUUUUCGUGGGGGAUAACGUAGGGAAACUUACGCUAAUACCGCAUACGACCUACGGGUGAAAGCAGGGGAUCUUCGGACCUUGCGCGAUUGAAUGAGCCGAUGUCGGAUUAGCUAGUUGGCGGGGUAAAGGCCCACCAAGGCGACGAUCCGUAGCUGGUCUGAGAGGAUGAUCAGCCACACUGGAACUGAGACACGGUCCAGACUCCUACGGGAGGCAGCAGUGGGGAAUAUUGGACAAUGGGCGCAAGCCUGAUCCAGCCAUACCGCGUGGGUGAAGAAGGCCUUCGGGUUGUAAAGCCCUUUUGUUGGGAAGGAAAAGCAGCAGGUUAAUACCCCGCUGUUCUGACGGUACCAAAAGAAUAAGCACCGGCUAACUUCGUG